UACGGAGGGGGCUAGCGUUGUUCGGAAUUACUGGGCGUAAAGCGCACGUAGGCGGACGAGAAAGUCAGAGGUGAAAUCCCAGGGCUCAACCUUGGAACUGCCUUUGAAACUUCUUGUCUUGAGGUCGAGAGAGGUGAGUGGAAUUCCGAGUGUAGAGGUGAAAUUCGUAGAUAUUCGGAGGAACACCAGUGGCGAAGGCGGCUCACUGGCUCGAUACUGACGCUGAGGCACGAAAGCGUGGGGAUCAAACAGG
rnacentral:rRNA from 1 species